AUGGCAAAACUCCCGAUAGUUGGCCGCAGUGUGCAUAGUAAGAAACCCAACGAGAGCAUGAGGCUUGUCGUCGUGACCAUCAUCGGGGUGGUCUUUGGUUUCUUCAUCGGGAUCUCCUUCCCAACAGUCAGCAUAACAAAGCUUCACUUCCCUUCUAGCAUUGUUUCCUACAUAGAGGACAAGAACUCUGGACUCUCAGCUCAGGCUAUACUGAACCAUGCCUGGAUUUCUGCUAGAAACGCAAGGGGAAAUACUUCUGAAUCUAGUUCAAACACUACCAUGAAGAUAUAUGUACCAACAAACCCCAGGGGCGCGGAGAUGCUAGCACCUGGCAUCAUUGCAUCAGAGUCUGAUUUCAAUGCUCACAGACUAUGGGGAGACCCGGCUGAGGACCUACCCUUCAAGCCAAAGUACCUUGUUACUUUUACUGUUGGAAUUGCACAGAAGGACAACAUAAAUAGAGCAGUCCAGAAGUUUUCUGAUGACUUUGCUAUCCUGUUAUUUCACUAUGAUGGCCAUGUGACUGAAUGGGAGGAAUUUGAGUGGUCAAAACGAGCGAUUCAUGUUAGUGUUCUGAAACAAGCGAAAUGGUGGUAUGCUAAAAGAUUCUUGCAUCCUGAUAUCGUGGCACCUUAUGAGUACAUAUUUAUCUGGGAUGAAGACCUUGGAGUCGAUCAUUUCAAUGGAGAGGAGUAUAUCAAACUUGUCAAGAAAUAUCAGCUGGAAAUCUCACAACCUGGUUUGGAGCCAGAUAAGGGAUUAACAUGGCAGAUGACCAAAAGAAGAGGGGAUCGUGAGGUCCACAAGGAUACUGAGGAGAGGCCAGGCUGGUGCACGGAUCCUCAUCUUCCACCAUGCGCUGCUUUUGUUGAAAUUAUGGCUCCGGUCUUCUCCAGAGAUGCAUGGAGAUGUGUAUGGCAUAUGAUUCAGAAUGACUUGGUUCAUGGAUGGGGUCUGGAUUUUGCUCUGAGGAAAUGUGUGGAGCCUGCUCAUGAGAAAAUCGGUGUCGUCGACUCCCAGUGGAUCGUACACCAAGUGGUUCCUUCUCUUGGGAACCAGGGACAGGCGGAGAACGGGAAGGCGCCAUGGGAAGGGGUGCGGGAGCGCUGCCGAAAAGAGUGGGGGAUCUUCCAGACGAGGAUCGCGGAGGCCGACAAGGCGUAUUACGAGAUGAUGGGCGUUACCCCUCCCAACGUAACAUUUGUCCACUAG
rnacentral:rRNA from 1 species